GAGCGGUAGAGAGAAGCUUGCUUCUCUUGAGAGCGGCGGACGGGUGAGUAAUGCCUAGGAAUCUGCCUGGUAGUGGGGGAUAACGUCCGGAAACGGACGCUAAUACCGCAUACGUCCUACGGGAGAAAGCAGGGGACCUUCGGGCCUUGCGCUAUCAGAUGAGCCUAGGUCGGAUUAGCUAGUUGGUGGGGUAAUGGCUCACCAAGGCGACGAUCCGUAACUGGUCUGAGAGGAUGAUCAGUCACACUGGAACUGAGACACGGUCCAGACUCCUACGGGAGGCAGCAGUGGGGAAUAUUGGACAAUGGGCGAAAGCCUGAUCCAGCCAUGCCGCGUGUGUGAAGAGGGUCUUCGGAUUGUAAAGCACUUUAAGUUGGGAGGAAGGGCAGUUGCCUAAUACGUAACUGUNUUGACGUUACCGACAGAAUAAGCACCGGCUAACUCUGUG
rnacentral:rRNA from 1 species